AUACAGUGAGAUACGUGACAGACAGCGUUGGACACCCUGUUCUCCACAUUCUCUGUCAUCCUGGAAACUACGAUAGUGAUACUGCACCUUUAAACGCGAGGCAUGGCCCGACGUCAUCACGUACAGUACGUACAGCGCGCGCUUGAUAUAUAUUCAUGAGGGUCGCUUUCCUCCCUCCCUUUUCCGCCUGCGUCCCAAAGAGACGGGCGGUAUAAGUCUGACUUCGCCGUUAAAACGAAUCCAAAAACAUCGGGCAAAAUGGUGAACUUCACAGUGGACCAGAUCCGUGCCAUCAGGGCCAGGCAGUCAAAUAUGUGUAAUAUUGCACACGUUGAUCACGGCGAGUCCACUUCGACAGACUUUCUGGUGUCAGAAGCUGGUAUCAUUCCCUCAGUCCAUGCUGGAGAAAGGAAGGCUGAGCAAUCCACGAGGAUGUGUCUAGACGGAGGCUGUGCUCAGACAGGCCACUGGUGAGAGAAUAAAGCCAGUAUUAAUUAACAAGAUGGCUCACGCAUUGAUGGAGCUGCAGCUGAGCCCAGAAGAGCUGUACCAGAUUUUUGCUGCGCAUUGAGAAUGAAUCUAUGGGCAACAUUAUGGCGUUGGUACUGUUGGCUUUGGACUGCAUGGUUGAGCUCUGAAGUGGAGAUGUAUGUGGUGACGCUCAGCUGAGCAGUGCAAGUUGAAGAUGUGAUGAAGCUUCGGGGGAGACUGGUACUUUGACCCUCUUUGUGGCAAGUUUAGCCAGUGUCCCACUUCACCAGAUGGUGAAUAACUUACUAGGACUUCUGCCCAACUGAUCCUAGACCUUAUCUUUUAAAGUAUUUGAACUUUGAACGUUUGAGGAAGAAACUAAGCUGACUGAGACGCUGGACAUCAAAUUAGAUUCUGAGGACAGGGGGCCCUGCUUGAAGUCUGUGUCGUUGCCAGAAGGAGAAGCUCUGCUUCAGAUGAUCACCAUCCACCUGCCCUCAGUUUACUAUUCAGAAGUACUGCUGUGAGCUGCUUUUUAAAGGACCUGGAGAUGAUGCUGCCAUGGGUAUGUUGUAGCUAUCGGAACAUUUGAUUUAAAAGUGGUAUAUGUCCUGGGGUGUUUAACAUACUUGGUACCACUAUUUAGACCGGUCACACCUUUGCCAUUUUAAAGGACGGUCUUUUGUUUUUGUUUUUCCCCUUUUAGGCAGUUUUUCUAGCCUUUAUUGUAUGUCAUGUUUUGUCAUUUGCUCGUGUAUUAAUAAAGCAAUAAUUGUUAGAAAACUUGCUAUUGUGAUUUUUGAAAUUAAUGUUUUGUUAAAACUGAGUUAACUAUAAUAAUUUUCACAAUUUAUGUAUAUUCUGUGCUUGCUGUAAUAAAUGUGAUCAAUCUAC